rnacentral:rRNA from 1 species
GAUGAACGCUGGCGGCGUGCCUAAUACAUGCAAGUCGAACGCGCAGCGAAAGGUGCUUGCACCUUUCAAGCGAGUGGCGAACGGGUGAGUAACACGUGGAUAACCUGCCUCAAGGCUGGGGAUAACAUUUGGAAACAGAUGCUAAUACCGAAUAAAACUUAGUAUCACAUGAUACAAAGUUAAAAGGCGCUACGGCGUCACCUAGAGAUGGAUCCGCGGUGCAUUAGUUAGUUGGUGGGGUAAAGGCUUACCAAGACGAUGAUGCAUAGCCGAGUUGGAAGGCUGAUCGGGCACAUUGGGACUGAGACACGGCCCAAACUCCUAAGGGAGGCUGCAGUAGGGAAUCUUCCACAAUGGGCGCAAGCCUGAUGGAGCAACGCCGCGUGUGUGAUGAAGGCUUUCGGGUCGUAAAGCACUGUUGUAUGGGAAGAAAUGCUAAAAUAGGGAAUGAUUUUAGUUUGACGGUACCAUACCAGAAAGGGACGGCUAAAUACGUGCCAGCCGCCGCCGUAA